UAACCAUUGCUAGGAGCAAUGCUGAACACACAGAAGUCAGCAGAGGUCAUAGUAGUCGAGAGACAAAGGAC
rfam:Oribacterium sp. ACB1 genomic scaffold acqcx-supercont2.1, whole genome shotgun sequence.